AACAUACUCCCUCCGUUUGGAAUUACUUGUCUCGGAAAUGAAUGUAUCUAGAACUAAAAUACAUCUAGAUACAUCUAUUUCUACGACAAGUAAUUCCAAACGGAGGGAGUAGAUU
rnacentral:pre_miRNA from 1 species